AGCGAACGCUGGCGGCAGGCUUAACACAUGCAAGUCGAGCGGGCACUUUCGGGUGUCAGCGGCGGACGGGUGAGUAACGCGUGGGAACGUGCCCUCUGGUUCGGAAUAACUCAGGGAAACUUGAGCUAAUACCGGAUACGCCCUUUUGGGGAAAGGCUUGCUGCCGGAGGAUCGGCCCGCGUCUGAUUCGCUAGUUGGUGAGGUAACGGCUCACCAAGGCGACGAUCAGUAGCUGGUCUGAGAGGAUGAUCAGCCACACUGGGACUGAGACACGGCCCAGACUCCUACGGGAGGAAGCAGUGGGGAAUAUUGGACAAUGGGCGCAAGCCUGAGCCAGCCAUGCCGCGUGAGUGAUGAAGGCCUUAGGGUUGUAAAGCUCUUUUAUCCGGGACGAUAAUGACGGUACCGGAGGAAUAAGCCCCGGCUAACUUCGUG
rnacentral:rRNA from 1 species